GUUUAAGACUUUUCAGAGAUGGAUUGGUGCCUUCGGGAACUUACAUACAGGUGCUGCAUGGCUGUCGUCAGCUCGUGUCGUGAGAUGUUGGGUUAAGUCCCGCAACGAGCGCAACCCUUUUCCUUAUUUGCCAGCGAGUAAUGUCGGGAACUUUAAGGAUACUGCCAGUGACAAACUGGAGGAAGGCGGGGACGACGUCAAGUCAUCAUGGCCCUUACGGCCAGGGCUACACACGUGCUACAAUGGUCGG
rnacentral:rRNA from 1 species